CUUUAAUUUAAAGUGAUAAUAUCUUUAAUUAGGAAGUUAAAAUCCACCCAUUUCAGAAAUCCAUAAAACCCGAUCCUUCGGGCAUGAUCUACCUUAAAUUCAUUUCAAGAAGGCUGGAACGUUAGUCGAAAUCGAAGAUUGAAAAAACAAAAUAUUCGUGCGAGUUUAGAAAUUGCGCUUCGAAUAUGCGAGCUCCAAUGUUUCAAACUAUCCAACACUGAAGAUCGGAAAUCAUGUCGUGGAUGGUAUUGCAGAGCAUUACAUCGAUGACGAUGAGCCUCAACACAUAUGCGAAUCAUGCUAUUUUUUGAUAGUAGAAUCUCAGGAUUAAACGAUUGCCAAUGGCGAAUACACAUAAAUUUGAUUUUCGUAGAGACAAAAAACUCAAGAAAACCUAAAUUGGCUAUAGAUCGCCCGGUACAUAAAUUUGGUGUAAAAUUCAAUCGAAUUUUUGUUGAUGGACAAGUAUACGAGACCGUUUAUGUUUUUGUCGUUUCUUGUCAAAACAGAAACAGGUAGAUACUAAUUACCUUGUAAAUUUUGUAUUAUUAAUGUGUAAUUGUUAUAAGUGUCAAAUUUUGUACUAUUGGUGUCAUUAUUCUAUUAGGGGGACGGGAAAGUAAUUUCGUUCUCUUAUGCUAAUUGAUAUGCUCUUAAACGACAUUACUUUCGGGUCCCCCUAAUAAUUAGACCUCUAAAACGUCGGACGGGCAUAUUCGGUAAUAACGAUAGUCGAUUCGCACUAUAAAAGGCUCCGAAUUCCCUGGAACAUCAUAGUUUACCAAGGAGUUGCCGACGUGGUUUCAUUUUCUAGUACUUACAUCCAAUAUGAAUUAAUUCUUUUUCCAGUCGCAAGUCAAUGGCAGGAUUGUUGCUUCUGUGUAUCGUCGCGAUUCACGUUUCGCUGGCGAGAGGAGACGACGAGGAGGAUCCAUGGAACGUCAACUCUUUCGAAAAUUCAGAAGGAGAAAAUAAUUCCCAAUCUGAAAUGGAAUCCUCUCAAGCUGAUACACAAAAUUCGAGCCCGGAAAAUAGUGGAGGCAAUGCCGAGGAUUAAUGAAAAAACUUUGUCCGUGGAUAACCACAUUAAAACAAGUUAAUUCACUGAAAAUUUUUGAUUUCUUCACUCUCUCUAAAAGUACAGAACGAUGUAUUUUGAAGAAUUUUAUUAUUACAAAAGAUACAUGCAUCUUCUGUGACAUUGAUGAGAGUAGCAUAAUAUAACACAGCAAACAAUAAAAUACCAACGUAAAACUA